rnacentral:snRNA from 1 species
GUGCUCGCUGUGGCAGCACAUAUACUAAAAUUGGAAUAGUACAGAGAAGAUUAACGUGGCCCCUGCACAAGGAUGACACGCAAAUUCAUGAACAUUCUAUAUUUUU